UGGCUCAGUGGUUAAGAGCGCUGGCUGCUCCUCCAGAGGUCCUGAGUUCGAUUCUCAG
rnacentral:tRNA from 1 species